ensembl:lncRNA
GAACGCGAUGUCAGAGCAUGUGCCUGCUGUAUUAAUAGCUCGCGGGAGGCACCCGAGGGGACCCAGGAAUACCUCGGGCGGCAAUAACUGUUUGUAGGGGCUGGUGGCCGGCGCUGAGGGUGCUGCAGGUGCAGGCUUUGCAUGCGUGGCCUCGAACCUCUGUGGUGCGUGCGCUGCAGGAGGGAGUCGGGCUGCAGAGCCCCCGGGGAAAAGGUGAUCAUAGAAUCAUGAAAUGGCCUGGGUUGAAAAGGACCACAAUGAUCAUCUAGUUUCACCCCCCUGCUAUAUGCAGGGUCACCAACCAGUAGACCAGGCUGCCCAGAGCCACAUCCAGCCUAGCCUUGAAUGCCUGCAGGGAUGGGGCAUCCACAGCCUCCUUGGGCAAUGUGUUCCAGUGAUGUGGCGGUGUGCACGUGUCUGUGAGCUUUUGGGGGAACUAGAAACGGGUGAGGCCUCUGUGAGACAAGGACAUGGAGCCUCCUUGUGUCUGAUGCAGCGUGAGCCUCCCACCCUUGAGGUCUUCAACAUCCCGACGUGCUCCAGAGGCUGCCUUCCCAUAGAGGAGGCAGCGUGUCCUCCUGCAGCGUGCCCUGGUUUCAACCCAGCAAGGUCAGACCCUCUGCAAGCGCUGCAGUCAGUCACCUCUGCAGGAAGCACGUGCUUAGGAAUCAAGCUCAGGUUGCCUGACUCGCACCCUGUGUGAGAGGUCAGUGAGGGCUGCAGCAAAACCUUGCCUCUCUUCAGUGUAUAGGGAAGCACUUCAGUCUCAAAUGCGGGUUAUGUGGCCUUCUUCAUGUGUUUCCUCUGGCUGCUGUCUGUACGAGCUUGUGGUUUGCUGUGGCAUGGAGUAGUUAUGUGAAAGCCAGUGCAACGAGUUGUAAGUGUAUACCAAGGAAUUUGCUUUAAAACAGUCAUCAUAUGUGGUUCUAGGAUGAUACUGUACUGAGGAAAGCUGAGGUUAAUAAGGUCAGCUUUAAUUCGGUAAGAUAGUAUCAAUAAUGGAAAUAGAAUUCAUCUUAAUGUAGGUGCUAAAAGAUUGGCUGUUCCACGAAGAGACAUUCCCUCCAGGACAGCAAAUCUCUUCUUGCUGACGUCUGUGUUAGCACAAGGCAAUGAGACUGUAAAUUUGAUCCCCAGCCUCUCUUGCUCUCUGCUGCUCUCCAGUCUGUUGAGGUAGAGGUCUUUUCUCAUGAACCUCGGGAACAGCAGCUUUAACCCUGCGCACCUGAGCCACCAUAAGCAAGAUGGAAUCUUUCCCCGGUUCUAAGAAAUGGGAAGAGAGGUCGCCUGAAGAGACCUUUUUCCCAAGCAAGAGCAGAAAGCAGGUGCAAGCUGGAAGAACAGGGGAUCCCUCAAGUUAGACUGAAAGUAAAUAUGCCUUUGACAUCUCAGGGCUUCUGCUGCUGGUUUCACAUGAACCCAUGGGAUGGCAGUGUUUGCAGUGCUGCCCAGCUGGAUGAGGUCUCCUCAGUGCGUGCAGGCAGCUGAAAUUCUUGAUUACUUGUUUUCUUCAUGAACCAUUUUCUUCUAAAACUACUGGUAGCAGAGCUAACCAAGACUCCUGAGAACAGCAUUCUUUUUUCAUCAGAAUGGCCUGAAUCAUUAAAUAUAAGCAAGAAAAUGAAUUCAUUUCUGUAAAAACGUCCUUAGUCCCAGAAUGUGUAUGCAUGAAAGGAAGAGGUCUGCCAGACAGGACUGAGAUGCUUAUGCUGAAGGCUGUAACCACACCGAUGAGAGAAGAGUGGUUGAGAUGAUCUGUAGAUGUCAGAGCUGCUUCUUGCUGCAUUGUGAACAAGAUAUCCUGAGCAAAAGGAUUUAUUUUAAAACCUGUCAGAAACAACCUAGGCAAAGCAAAUAGAGAUGUAAGGGCAGAUAGAGUCUUCAUGGCUGAUCUUGAGUCCCAGAAAUCAUACAUCGUGGGAUGCUUAUUUGUAUUUUAGUGCACGGGGGAAGUAUAGAGGAAGAAUUUUUUAUUGAGCUUUUUUCCCGUAGCUGAUCUAUGAACCAGUAUGGAAGCAAGAUGAAAGUAGUCUGAUAUUUCCAUCUGAACUGGAAGGAAAUCCCAUCAAGAAGCAUUUUCUAGUCCUAAUGUAAUGCAGCCUUGCCAGACCUGGCACUUAGGUGGCUCCAAAUCCUUGCACAAAUGCAGAUUUCACAGGGAUGGGAGAAUCAGUACAUCAUCUGCUGUGACUGCAGUCGAAGCCAACUUGGCAAAGUUGUUUCAGUCUGAUUUCAUUCCACUCGGCCACACUCUGAUCAUCAUCCAUUAGUGUGCACUGAGAGCACAUGGGAACAGACAAACCUUGCAGGAACAAACAACAAGCAUAGCGGUCAGUGGAGAAAUCCUCAGUCCCUGUGCACAUGAAGCUGAUGGAUCACUGACUUGAAGAGCCAGGUGGUAAUACCCCUUGAGGAAGACACUCCCUGGCAACUUGGAAACCUUGACAUCUGGCUAACCUUCAGCUGGUGGGUGUCUGGCAUUCUCCAUUCACUGCCUAAUUCUGCCCCUGAGACCAAGAAACACCGGACACCAUGGAUCACAGAGCCACUGGACCCCAUGAUGGUGCCUGUUCCCUUUGCAAAAUUCUGUGACUGCCUUGAAGCUGUGAUUUGGCACCACAAGCAAAAAAUCUGUGUGGAUAUGAUGCUAUAUAUUUAUCAAUGACAACUGUGAUCUGGAGACUAAGGGCUUUCACAAUGCAACAGUCUUUAUUCUGGAGGAGUUCAAGUCACAGAGAACUGGUUCAUAAGCAAAUGUUUAGCUUGAAAUAUGUCAGUGAAGCAUCCUAAAUUGUGAGAGAUCUCCAAUGUGUUGUUUAUAUAAAGUGAUAUUUUUGUAAACUCCAUUAAGUCUUAUGCUGUUUUUGUGCAGUGCAAUCAGACUAUUCUUUGGGGUGGAGCUGUGUACUGAGAGGGGGAAGGGAGACAAUUUUCCCUUUACCAUGUAGGGUAGGCAGGAUAUUUGAAAUAGAGCUGGGCCUUUUUGCCAAGUGAUGGUAUGUCUGGUUUAAUGUAGGUCAAUCCUUUUACUAACUUAGGGCUCAUUUGCUUUCAGUGAGUAUGAAAUUGUGCUUUCUUAGUAUUGUUUUGUCUUUUUUACAUUUGUCUGAGAAAAAGCAACAAGUUGAAGAGAAGGUGAUUAGUCAUCAGGAGUUUCAGAUGGCAAACGAGUGCAGGUAGGAAUGGUUUUCUUUAUUUAGAACCAUCUGUCAGUGGGGAGGUAGAACUUUUAUCUUCAAAAGCAAAGCACGCAGUCAGUCACUCACUUGUCACUAUGUUGGACAGGGUAGAGAGUAGGAAGAGCAAAGGCAAGAAAACCCACGGGUCAAGAUAAAAAUUUUAAUAAGGGAAGGAAAGAGGAAAUAUACAAAGCGGUGUAAAGCAAUCACUCGCCACCUCUCACUGAUGACUAGCCAGUCUCUAGAACAACAGCUACAGUGGCUACCUUGAAAGACGCUGCGCCCUACCUGUUAGUGCUGAGAAUGACAUCACGUGGGACGGGAAAUCUCUUCUGCCUGUCAGCUGUCCUGGCUGUGUCCUUUCCCAGCUUCUUGUUCCUCCAAGCCUGCUUGCUGGACUGGAGCAGGGUAAGCAAAAAUCUUGAUGCUGAACAGCUACUAUUCAGCCAGAUCCAGUACAACAGAGCUGCUUGACAUUAAUGCAUGGUAGAUGAGAAAUUGAGGAUACAGUUUCAUAGUUACUAUAAAGAUCCUGGCGACUCAAUUGCAGCUCUUAGUCCCUUUCCCUUCCAGUCAUGUAUUUCCCAUCUCCCCUCAAGUCAGCAAUAGUAAUCAUGCAGCCCUGCAAAAAGCAAGUUUCCAGCAUAUCCCUGAUAGUGAGUUGUAGCUGUUACGUGGGCACGAGCAUGAGAAUGGCUGGCUGGGGUAAGGGAAAAUGGCAGAAGUGGCAUUACUGGAAUAGACAUGUCCAUUUGUGACAUAGCUGGGGAGUUCUUAUGCUGUGGCUGUACUUCAUUCUUAUAUACCUUUCAUUAAUCUCUUCUACCUCCUCAUAUUUCCUUCUGAAUAACUACUAUCAUCGUGUGGUCUGAAACUCUUUAGCUUUAGAGCAACUAGGUAGAGAAAACUGUAUGUGGAAAAAGAAUGCAAUGGUUUGGUUCUCUGGAGCUACAAUGUGUGAAUUUCUCCUUGACAGUUAACAAGAAAAAGGGACUUAACAUUUUGCAAAACUGCACGUAGAAGUUGCUCAUGGAUUAUGCACUUCAACAUAAUAUGGAUUAGGCAGGUUCAGUUUUUACUUUGUGGUAUUUUUCAGCUGAUUUGUAGUUAAAUCUGAAGCAUGUACAUUAGGAAGAGGAAAGCUUCCCAUACAAGGUUUGCCUUCUGAGAAAAACAAGAUGGUAUUUUUGGAAUGUCCUUGCCACUAGAUGGCAGGGCACACUUUGAAUAAAGGAAGCAGCCGACAGGCUGUAUUCAGCACUGAUUUAUUCUCAGUCUAGAAAAUCCCUCAUUGAGCUUGUCAAAAGCUUGGUUGGAGUGAGGAGCGGCUGGAGUGUUGGGUAGAACUGUAAUUGUAUCAUGACCCUUUGACAGCACUGACGUGCAGUUUUAUUUUUUUCUGCAGUACAAUAGAUAUCUUAAUUGAAUUCCUCAAAGCUCAGCUUAAUAAGAUAAUAAGGAAAAGCUGUGCGUUAACUGCAAUUAAACUAUAAGCCAAUGUUGGCGAAUUUGUUAAAGAAAUCUCUGCCUCUCAUACACGUGCCACGCUUGCUGUGCCAAAUUCUCAGCUACUCAGUCAGUCCUUGAAGUAAAUUGAAAAGAGAAGACUAGCUCAAGUGCUGCCCUUGGAAUCUGGCUUAAAAUAGUUUGGAUGGGCAGUUUGCUGCAGGUGGCAGAUUCAGAUAGCAUUUAUAAGAGAUAAAGUGCCUAAUUUUCAUUCUUUCACAUCAUUUUAUGGUAACCCUAAUAAGUUCAAUUGAAUGAAACUUGUAUAGUGGUGCUGAGAAGCAGGGUGUUUAUGUUAUAGUCUUCAGAAUAUGAAAGUGAGAAAAUUAUGUGUGUUUACUGAUGCAAAAUAUAUAGGUGUGUCUGGACAAAUUAGGUGUAACACUCCUCUAUUUUCAUGUGGAACAUUACACACUGGCAAGUGGAAAUGAGCUCACUGAGAUCAGAUCUGUAUCUUUUAAAAAUCAUAGAAUCAAAGAUCAAGUCUAGCUCCCACAGCGUGUCUUUGUAGGACAGGUGCUUCAGCCCUCUGAUCGUCCCUGAGACCUUCCUCUGCACCCACUCCCACAGCUCCGUGUCCUUUCUGUACUGGGGGCCCCAGGCCUGGACACAGUACUCCAGAUGGGGCCUCACGAGGGCAGAGUAGUGAGGGACAGUUGCUUCCCUCUCCCUGCUGGCCGCUUCUCUAUUGAUGCAGCCCGGGAUGCUGUUGUCCUUCUGGGCUGCAAGUGCAAACUGCUGGCUCAUGUUGAAUGUUUCCUCAACCAGCACUCUCAAAUCCAUCAGCAUGGUGGGCUCCCACUCAGAUGCAAUGGCUGUACUUCACAACUGCCU